GUUUCCGUAGCUCAGCUGGAUAGAGCACCCGCCUCCUAAGCGGGGGGUCGUGCGUUCAAAUCGCAUCGGGAACA
rnacentral:tRNA from 1 species